AUUGAACGCUGGCGGCAUGCCUUACACAUGCAAGUCGAACGGCAGCACGGACUUCGGUCUGGUGGCGAGUGGCGAACGGGUGAGUAAUGUAUCGGAACGUACCUUUCAGUGGGGGAUAACGUAGCGAAAGUUACGCUAAUACCGCAUAUUCUGUGAGCAGGAAAGCAGGGGAUCGAAAGACCUUGCGCUGAUUGAGCGGCCGAUAUCAGAUUAGCUAGUUGGUGGGGUAAAGGCCUACCAAGGCGACGAUCUGUAGCGGGUCUGAGAGGAUGAUCCCCACACUGGAACUGAGACACGGUCCAGACUCCUACGGGAGGCAGCAGUGGGGAAUUUUGGACAAUGGGGGCAACCCUGAUCCAGCCAUGCCGCGUGAGUGAAGAAGGCCUUCGGGUUGUAAAGCUCUUUCGGCCGGGAAGAAAUCGCAUAGGCUAAUACCCUGUGUGGAUGACGGUACCGGAAUAAGAAGCACCGGCUAACUACGUG
rnacentral:rRNA from 1 species